GCCAAUAUUGUAUAGUGGUUUGAGCGCUGGACUGUGACUCUGGAGACCAGGGUUCCAAUCCUGGUUUGGUCA